AGCGCCGCCCCCGCCCCCGCCGGUUCCUGCGGGCGCGCCCUUCCCGCGCUCGCGGGUUCCGGGGCCCGGUGCCCUUCUACCCCACCACUGCGCCCGGCUCCCACCCCCGUCCCCGCCGCUCCCCGAAGCUCCCACUCUCUCCCGCAGUCCGCCCCCUCCCGCGCCCUUUCUGCCUCUGGCGUUUGGCUCCCUCCUGGCGCCCCCGCUCCACCGGCAUCCUCUCCACCUCCAGUGCCCAGGUUCCCUGCCGAGCCGAGCGCGCGUUCGCCUUAGCGGGGAGGGGGCCUCGGCGUUCUCCCAGCGCCGGAGCGCCUCGGACUGUCUGUCCGCUGGGGUUGGAGGAGUUCGGCUGCCGGGUUGUUUCUCGGAUCCGGCAGCCUUGCAGAGUGUGUUGUAAAACCCUUCCCCCGUCAAGAGGGGACCCAGCCAGCCUGCGUCCUGCCAGCUCGGGGGACCGGAGGCGGGUGUCAGUGGUUAGAGGAAAACUUUCCAGCAGAGCGCCUUGCCGCCUUGCCGGAGCAAACCUGGCAUCUGUCAAGAACGCUCUCUGUGCGCUCUUCCUGCAAGGAGCUUCUGUUCCAGUGCAGUAGACGCAGAAGGCAAGCGAAGGUUUGUGCAUCUGAACAGCUAACGCUGAGGACCAGUUGGAAAAUCACAGGCUCCUCAGACCCAGCUAAUUACUACCUCCAGCAGCACCGCUAUAGGCCACGGCACAAAGCAGAAAACUCUUCGUUUUAUGCAAAACCAAGGGUGGCAAAGAAGGCAGCUUCCAACCAGUGGAAAUUGGAUAAUUGAAUCAAUGUGUUCUUUUUUAAAAGCGAGAGGAUGUAGUAAAGGAUCUAAUUUGGACUGAGGGCAAGCAGAAUGGCUUCUCAUGUUUCACACUAAAGAUGGCCCCCAGAUAAGUGACACGCAGACCCUGGUGAGAACAGUCACCUUUGUUGUAGGAUUACAGCCAGGCACAAAGUCACGAAUGCCACAGGCUGACUGUGGUCAGAUCAAGACGUCAUGUAUGCUGAAACUAGCAUAACGGCGAUUGGCUGGGUCGGAGAGAUACAACAAGCCUUUAUAACUGAAGAACAAAACUGGCCUUUGAGGCAAGUUAAACCCAGGUUCUCUCUCCUAUAGAAUCCACUGAAAAACAGGAUUUUUCUGACCCCUAAGUAAUGAUUUUGAUGGAGAAGGUGAUUCAGAUCCUAAAAUAUUGGCAGGCAGGGGUUUGACUAAGAAAUAACUCCCUUCAGUAUAUUGAUUGAGAUUUAUGAUGAAAUCUGAGGCUCACGAGCAUCUUAAUUUUAUCCAUCCCUAAGUGGUACAUCUAACUGUCCUCUGUGGACACAGAUGGUAAUGUUUUAACCUGUGCAUGGCCACAGACCAAAUGAACUUGACUUGUAUGCCCCCAAUCCAAACACCAAAAAACUCCACCUGAUUAAGUUCCAAGAAUCCAAUCUGAUCAUUUGUGCUGCCGUUUGAUAUUAAAGAAUGGCUCUCAGCUGUCCUGGAUGCCUUUGCUACAGGGGCCGAAUAUGGAACCGGAUGCCUAAGUGUAAACAUCUGAGGAACUCUCUUAGUAUAAAAUCCAAGGAUCUCUCUAACGCAGUGUGAAAGCCGAGGAUCUCUCUAACAUAGUAUGACAUUCUGUGUUGCAGUGAUGCCAAGUCCUCCUUGCAGAUAAAUUUGCUACGUGCGUGCUGUGUAAACAGCAUGAAUUUAGAUGUAUAUGAAACAGUAUGUUUAAAAAUGUCACAUUGAAGCGUUGUUAAUGACGAGAUUAGUUCAGUGGAACAAUCUUACAUAAGCUUGUACUUAAAGAAAAGCUCAAAUCUGUGCAUCUAAGUAUUAUUUAGUCAUCUGCUUGUGCAACUAUAUUUUUAACUUAAUUUAUGAUGAACAAAUAGUCUUUCUGCACUCCCAGGCUGUGUUACUGCAGUGUGCUUUAUUUUCUUCUCAGUUUCCUUCAGAGCACAUUACAGAGAACUUUCUUUGGAAACUCCAUAAAGUUAACAGCAUCCGUCAGAAAGCACCAAACCAACCAAAAUUAAAGAUGUAAAAUACAAUGAUAGGGCAUGUGCAUUCUUUCCAGGGCCAUGUAACAGAAACCUAGAUCUAUGUCACAUUCUCUUUUAUUCUUUUUCUUUUUUUUUCCUAUUUCUUUUUAUCUUUACUAAAAACAUUGUCUGUGGCCGUGUAAAAUGUCUGCCAUCACUCCUGAGUGACCAAGAAUCUUUAUGAAUUUUUAAAAAAAUUUUAACGUUUAUUCAUUUUUGAGAGAAGGAGAGAGACAGAGUGUGAGUGGGGGUGGGGCAGAGAGAGAGGGUGACACAGAAUCCGAAGCAGGCUCCAGGCUCUGAGCUGGCUGCACAGAGCCCGAUGCAGGGUUUGAACCCAUGGACUGCGA